GACGAACGCUGGCGGCGCGCUUAAUACAUGCAAGUCGAGCGAGAACCAGGGCUUCGGCUCUGGGGACAGCGGCGAACGGGUGAGUAACACGUGGGUAAUCAACCCCCGACACCGGGAUGGCCCAGGGAAACUUGGAUUAAUACCGGAUGCCCCGUCUGGCCUUCGGGCCGGCCGGAAAAGGGUAGCUUCGGCCUCUGGUCGGGGACGAGCCCGCGGCGGAUUAGCUUGUUGGUGAGGUAAAGGCCCACCAAGGGGGCGAUCCGUAGCUGGUCUGAGAGGACGAUCAGCCACACUGGGACUGAGACACGGCCCAGACUCCUACGGGAGGCAGCAGUAGGGAAUCUUGCGCAAUGGGCGAAAGCCUGACGCAGCGACGCCGCGUGAGGGAAGAAGGCCUUCGGGUUGUAAACCUCUUUCAGGAGGGACGAAGCCACUCGGGUUAAUAGCCUAGAGGGUGACGGUACCUCCAGAAGAAGCCCCGGCUAACUACGUGCCAGCAGCCGCCGUAA
rnacentral:rRNA from 1 species